GACGUAGGGUGCAAGCGUUGUCCGGAUUUAUUGGGCGUAAAGAGCUCGUAGGCGGCUUGUUGCGUCGACUGUGAAAACCCGCGGCUUAACCGCGGGCUUGCAGUUGAUACGGGCAGGCUAGAGUUCGGUAGGGGGAGACUGGAAUUCCUGGUGUAGCGGUGAAAUGCGCAGAUAUCGGGAGGAACACCAAUUGCGAAGGCAGCUCGCUGGGACGUUACUGACGCUGAGACGCGAAAGCGUGGGGAGCAAACAGG
rnacentral:rRNA from 1 species